GCAAGGGCGACCAAGCGUGGGGAGGAAGUGUAUAGCGAAACCACGAGCCGAUGAACAAGAACCGAAUAUUGAGGCAUUAUCAAUCAGGGCGAGCGGGCACGUCAUCGCGAAGCUCUUGUGGUCAAAGGGAGAUAAUGUAGAUUCGGCGGUUGUGUGGGGAAGGAUUGCAGU
rnacentral:ncRNA from 1 species